rnacentral:lncRNA from 1 species
AUCAAUGAGAAUGCAACAUAAACAAUUAGAUUUAGUGCAUAUGGGCAUAAUAAUAUUAUGAGUUUAAUCAACUAACAAAAUUAAAAACAAAUAUUUUAACUUUUUAGAUAGAUGGGGCCUAUUAUGCAAAUAUGAAAAGUUAGGGGUCAAACCGUAAAUACUUGAAAGUAAAUAUCAACUUUUCAAAAAUUACAAAAUAGCCCCACAAGUGGGUAAUCCACUAGGGUGGCCGGCCACAUUAAGGUGACAUGGGAAGUCUCACCCAUCUUGCAUUGAACCAACAUAAAGUAGAAAAAAUUAAAUUUUGCUUGUCACUUGGUUUUGCUUUAAGGACUUUAGUGAAAAGGGUGAUGGAAAUUUAACUAGACAAGUCUAGGUUUUAUUAAAUUUUGAGAUGGCUAUGGAUGGUAUGUACAUCAUCCAAAACCACAAAACAAUGCAUGAAAUACAAGUAAAACCAUUUUCACCAAAAACCAAACCAUGAACACAUUUUCAAGAUUUGUAUAUUCUUGGUGAUUUUUCAAACCCAAAAACAAAAGUGACUAGAUUUCUACUUUCUAGCUUUAAAGUGUGUGUGUGUGAUUCAAAAUAAAAACACAAACACUUAGCCAAAAAACCCCUUUUUUGCCGUGCCCUCCCUAUGACUCAAAACCCCAAAAUUAGUUCUAAACUCAUUCUUCAUUCAUGCAUCCAAAACACUUUUUGCAUACAUAUCUUUCUCAACUAUUGAUUUACAUUUUCAACAAUUGAAAAACAAAAGAUAAACCUACUUUGAAUGAAGCAAUAAUAUGUCAUACAUAAAAUUAAAACCCAUAUGCAUAAAAUCCAAAAGGACACAUCAUACAUAAACCUUUGGCUCUGAUACCACUUGAAGGGAAUACUAUAAGAUUCAUGUGGGAUUUCUAGUGACUAGCAUGCAUAUACAAUUCAAAAUUUAUAUACGAAAGCAACGGAAGCAUUUCAACAUAUAUUAUCAAAGCUUUAGUCAUGUAAAUCCCCUUCAAGAUGCAUAGGUUUAUGUAAGAUGCAUCAAAAACAAAUUUAUAUAAGAACAAA